CUUGCAUUCAAAAUCAACUUAAGGAAAUUAUUAUGGGAAACAAAUGUGUUGCAGACACAUGAAAUUAAGAAUUUAAUUUCUACACCAAUUGCUAUUGAUUUAUAGCAAGUCACUCUAUUUCAGAGAUGACAGGUAACUGAUCUUGGUGAAGACGUCUCCCAGCAGGCAUGCGUGUAGAGUUGAAAGGAUUAGGAGGCAUUGCUAAAUCAUCUACUUCUCCUUCCAACAUUUGAACAACCAUGGUCAAGGAGGGACGGUCUAUUGGGAACAACUGAAUGCACCAUAAUCCAACAAUGGUGAGUUUCUUGGCUAUUUUAGCAUCACCUUCUUCCUCAAUUCUGAUUCUCAUAUCUUCUCCUCUAUCCAAUUGAUCAUAUAUCCAUUCAGGAAAGAAUACUUGGUCACUAUUGUUUUCCACGUUAACAUGGGUGUUCUUCCUUCCUCCAACCAUUUCCAGCAACAACAUUCCAAAACUAUAUACGUGGGAUUUAUAGGACACAUUGCCAAAGUUCCUUGAGAACACUUCA
rnacentral:misc_RNA from 1 species